rnacentral:rRNA from 1 species
AUUGAACGCUGGCGGCAGGCCUAACACAUGCAAGUCGAACGAGUGGCGGACGGGUGAGUAAUGUCUGGGAAACUGCGCGAUGGAGGGGGAUAACUCCUGUAAACGGUAGCUAAUACCGCAUACCAUCGGAUGUGCCCCGAUGGGAUUAGCUUGUAGGUGAGGUAACGGCUAACCUAGGCGACGAUCCCUAGCUGAUCUGAGAGGAUGACCAGCAGUCAUGGAACUGAGAGACGGUCCAGGUUCCUGCGGUAGGCAGCAGUGGGGAAUAUUCCACAAUGGGCGCAAGCCUGAUGCAGCCAUGCCGCGUGUAUGAAGAAGGCCUUCGGGUGGUAAAGUACUGUCAGCGAGGAGGCGUUACCCGCAGAUGAAGCCCCGGCUAACUCCGUGCCAGCCGCCGCGGUAAUUC